GACGAACCGUGCGAACGUUAUUCGGAAUCACUGGGCUUAAAGCGCGUGUAGGCGGCCCGGCACGUCUCUCGCUGAAAUCCCCGGCUCAACCGGGGAAGUGGCGGGGAUACGACCGGGCUGGAGGGGGGUAGGGGGGACGGGAACUUCCGGUGGAGCGGUGAAAUGCGUUGAGAUCGGAAGGAACGCCCGCGGCGAAAGCGCGUCCCUGGACCCCACCUGACGCU
rnacentral:rRNA from 1 species